CUUUCCGCAGGCUGCGCUGGCGGUCGAGGUUUGCAGGCCGGAAGUGAAGCGUUCUUUUUUGAUUUUUAAAAAGGAAGCCUCCGGCCCUACGGUUUUCUGGGGUUGGAGUGGAUGUGUGUGCUGGGGAAGGCGGAGACGUCCCGCUCCAGGCAGGGCCUCGGGUCUUAUAGGUGGGGAAAUCUCUGCCAAAUAGGACGCCUCUCGGAGCCUCAGUUUCCCCAUCUGCAGACUGGGCUCUGACUUCUGGCAUAAGAGGGUGAGAGUAAAAGGUGGCAGCUAGCCCCGUGCCGGGAGACACGUCAGCCAUGUCAUCUGAGCCUCCCCCACCACCACAGCCCCCCACCCAGCAAGCUUCAGUCGGGCUGCUGGACACCCCUCGGACCCGCGAGCGCUCACCAUCCCCUCUGCGGGGCAACGUGGUCCCAAGCCCACUGCCCACUCGCCGGACGAGGACCUUCUCAGCGUGAGUCUGGAGCGGGCUAGGGAUGCAUUCUCAGAUGGAUCUCUUGCCUGAGGCCAGAGAUUCACUGUGUAUCUGGCCAUUUUUGGGCCUAUGUCCCAGACUGUCAA
rnacentral:sRNA from 1 species